UCUGCCCUGCACUCUGGGACAAGCCCUGGAAACGAGGGUCUAAUACCGGAUACUGACCCGCCUGGGCAUCCAGGCGGUUCGAAAGCUCCGGCGGUGCAGGAUGAGCCCGCGGCCUAUCAGCUUGUUGGUGAGGUAACGGCUCACCAAGGCGACGACGGGUAGCCGGCCUGAGAGGGCGACCGGCCACACUGGGACUGAGACACGGCCCAGACUCCUACGGGAGGCAGCAGUGGGGAAUAUUGCACAAUGGGCGCAAGCCUGAUGCAGCGACGCCGCGUGAGGGAUGACGGCCUUCGGGUUGUAAACCUCUUUCAGCAGGGAAGAAGCGAAAGUGACGGUACCUGCAGAAGAAGCGCCGGCUAACUACGUGCCAGCAGCCGCGGUAAUACGUAGGGCGCGAGCGUUGUCCGGAAUUAUUGGGCGUAAAGAGCUCGUAGGCGGCUUGUCGCGUCGGUUGUGAAAGCCCGGGGCUUAACCCCGGGUCUGCAGUCGAUACGGGCAGGCUAGAGUUCGGUAGGGGAGAUCGGAAUUCCUGGUGUAGCGGUGAAAUGCGCAGAUAUCAGGAGGAACACCGGUGGCGAAGGCGGAUCUCUGGGCCGAUACUGACGCUGAGGAGCGAAAGCGUGGGGAGCGAACAGGAUUAGAUACCCUGGGUAGUCCACGCCGUAAACGGUGGGCACUAGGUGUGGGCGACAUUCCACGUCGUCCGUGCCGCAGCUAACGCAUUAAGUGCCCCGCCUGGGGAGUACGGCCGCAAGGCUAAACUCAAAGGAAUUGACGGGGGCCCGCACAAGCG
rnacentral:rRNA from 1 species